AUGUUAUCACGGGAGACACACGGCGGGUGCUAACGUCCGUCGUGAAGAGGGAAACAACCCAGACCGCCAGCUAAGGUCCCAAAGUCAUGGUUAAGUGGGAAACGAUGUGGGAAGGCCCAGACAGCCAGGAUGUUGGCUUAGAAGCAGCCAUCAUUUAAAGAAAGCGUAAUAGCUCACUGGUCGAGUCGGCCUGCGCGGAAGAUGUAACGGGGCUAAACCAUGCACCGAAGCUGCGGCAGCGACGCUGAUGCGUUGUUGGGUAGGGGAGCGUUCUGUAAGCCUGCGAAGGUGACCUGUGAGGGUUGCUGGAGGUAUCAGAAGUGCGAAUGCUGACAUAAGUAACGAUAAAGCGGGUGAAAAGCCCGCUCGCCGGAAGACCAAGGGUUCCUGUCCAACGUUAAUCGGGGCAGGGUGAGUCGACCCCUAAGGCGAGGCCGAAAGGCGUAGUCGAUGGGAAACGGGUUAAUAUUCCCGUACUUGGUGUUACUGCGAAGGGGGGACGGAGAAGGCUAUGUUGGCCGGGCGACGGUUGUCCCGGUUUAAGCGUGUAGGUGUGUGUUCCAGGUAAAUCCGGUUCACUUUAACACUGAGGCGUGACGACGAGGCACUACGGUGCUGAAGCAACAAAUGCCCUGCUUCCAGGAAAAGCCUCUAAGCAUCAGGUAACAUCAAAUCGUACCCCAAACCGACACAGGUGGUCAGGUAGAGAAUACCAAGGCGCUUGAGAGAACUCGGGUGAAGGAACUAGGCAAAAUGGUGCCGUAACUUCGGGAGAAGGCACGCUGACACGUAGGUGAAGUGAUUUACUCAUGGAGCUGAAGUCAGUCGAAGAUACCAGCUGGCUGCAACUGUUUAUUAAAAACACAGCACUGUGCAAACACGAAAGUGGACGUAUACGGUGUGACGCCUGCCCGGUGCCGGAAGGUUAAUUGAUGGGGUCAGCGCAAGCGAAGCUCCUGAUCGAAGCCCCGGUAAACGGCGGCCGUAACUAUAACGGUCCUAAGGUAGCGAAAUUCCUUGUCGGGUAAGUUCCGACCUGCACGAAUGGCGUAAUGA
rnacentral:rRNA from 1 species